GAACAAAACUUAAAACAUCAGAUACAAGAAAAAACAUGCUGAAAAUACCAUGAAUAAUUUCACAUAAGAAAUUUGAAAAUUAAAAUGCAAAGGAUAAUUUUGUGUAAAAACAUAACUUAUCAAAACCUCAUUUAAAAAAAUGGUCUGAAUAAAUUUAUAACCAAUAAAGAAAUCAAAUCAGCAGUCUGAAAUCUCCAUUUCCUCAAAAUGCUGAAAUGCUUUUACAUGUAAAUUCGAAUAGAACUACAAAAAUAAAUGCCCUCCAACUUAUGUGAACAUUUUUGUGGAGCAGAAAUAGAGGGCUAGCUCUCUUGAAUCGUCACAAUAACAGUGAUAUCUCAACCAGACGAGGAUAGUAUGAGAAAGGAAUAUUAAUAGCGCAAUCUCACAUGUUUGCAAAGGUCAGAAAUUUACUCUCAUCGUUAUGCUACAGAAGUAUUUAAAUAAUCUGGCAUUACAUCACAAAGUAGGAAGCUGUGAUUUGAACAGGUGAUCUAAAGCAAUUAAGAAAAUUGAAGGCAUUCAUUAUAUGAAAGACUAUUUUAAUUAGAUCUGUGUCAGAAACAACUGUAUUUGAGUCUCCAAGUUCCCUUAUUGACUUCAUGACAGAAAACAGAUGGACUAUUAAAUAGAAAAAAUACAGAAGCUUCCCCAGACAGCAAAUCUCUUUGGGACUGUUUGAGUACCUAGAACAAAGAUUCAGACAAAAAAUCUUGCUGGUAAGAAUACCAUUUGGCAAAAAACUUUGUAAAUUCUAAGGUGUUAUAGAGGACAAAAUACAUUUUUUUACAAACAGAGACUAAUCUCUUGGGUGAUGAGAUCUUUUUGAGAUCAUUCAGAGCUCUAAUUAUUUUUUUCAUUAACUAUCUAAUGCACACAGAGCCAAAUCUUGAGAGAUUUGUAAACCUUUGGGAAUUAGUGGUAUAUUUCUAAGCUACAUCUCAACAUUUACAGAUAAUAUCAGAUUCCAGUUUUUGAAGGUAAAUGUCUUAAGGUAAGUGGACAUCAACUUCUCAGCAGUUAAGGGAAAAGACUCUACAUGAUGUUUGAAUUCUUUAUUUAGAUGCUCUAAUUAAUCAUUUAUGUUUCAGGACAUUAGAUUAAUAAUAUCAAACAGUUAAAUAGCACUUAUUAUGUACCAAUUUUCUCUUAUAACCUCUGUUAACUAAAAAAAAAAAAAUCCAAUCAAAUAGGUUUUACAGAUGAGAACGUAGAGUCAUAGGUGAUAAAAUUUACCCAAAGUCACACAAUUGUAAGUGACAAAGCCAAGAUUGGAUCCUAGGUGGACUGACUCCAGAGUGGCAUUAAGGCUGUAAUCACUAUUCUAUUGUAUUAAUUUAACUUUUGAGAUUGUAUUCAUUUAUUUUUUAAUUGACUGCAAAAAACAUACAUUGCAAGAGAGGCCAACUGCUUUGAAAACUUUGCCUAGAGAAAUGCCAUCCUGAAUUUUACAUGUACUUAUUUACUGUAUGUCCAUUUAUACACUGGAUGACUUCAUUUCCUUGAUUUGAUUCCCCAUUAUCUGCAUUUCAGUUUCAACAAUUCUAUCAGAACCUCCAAUGAGCCAAAUAAUUUCCACCUAUGUUUUAAUGCCCUCUUGUUCUGAAAUCUGUAAUUUUGUCUUAACUGGAAGAUCUUUCUUAUGCAGAUAGCUUUUGCUAUGUUAAUAGUGUCAAAUCCAAAGCACAACUGGCAAAUGCAGCAGUAAAUUGUCAAACUUAAGUUGCUGGGCUGUUAAUUGUCAUUGUUGAAGUUUGAAAAACUGUUGAGAAUAUUUAGAUGUGGAAAGGUCAACAGUCUAGGUCAUAUUGACUGCAUUUAAUGACCUCGUCCUCACGUUGACCCCAGAGCUUGUCUGGGCAGUUUGCUACAAUUGCUUCUCCUAAGACAGUGAAAAAAAGUUGGCACAAUUGCCAAUACCGCUUCUUCUUAAAUCUAAAUCAUAAUGUCCUGUUAUUCAUAGCCUCUAAUAUGCAACCAGCUCUUGACAAUGCUUCCAAAGUCAAUGUAGGAGCCUCAGGAAUCUCCUGGCAUUUUUGCUUCUUAAAUUAUAAGUAAGGUUUUUACUUUUCUAGUUGGAAGAGAGUGCUCUUCUUGAUGAGACUCAGGAACAAAUCCUGCUUUUCUCACUGAAAACAGUCAUCUACUUUCCGAUUCAUGCCCCCUGGGUAAAGCUGCCUGCUGCUUUAGGGAUCUUUGGAGUAAUACAGACAAAGUAAACUCAGAAAGUAUUUUAUAAAUGUAAAAAAUAAAAAAUAGUAACUGCUAAUUACAUGGUGGUUUAAAGUUUUCAAAACUCUGUACAGACCUUUUUGUCUUCACAAUCACUCUUUUUAUAGAUGAGGAAACAAACAUUCAGAGAUGGUGAAUGAUUUGCUCUAGUCACACAGACUCUACACCGAAGUGCUUUUAGCCUGUUGUUCUGACUCCAACAAGUUAUCUUUCUAUGUCAUUAUAUAAUUGUAGGGUAUAAGACUUGAAAUUAACAAAAAUUUUGUUCUGGUGAAAGUCAUGCAGAAGUUUUGUAACAUUUGCUUUGGAUAUGUAGGGGAGGAGAACAUUUCCUCUCCCCAAAUGGGGGUUCGUCUGGCUGGAGAACGAAUUAAAUUCACAUGAGACAGAAUAGCAAGAGAAAAUUAAACAAAGCUUUAAUGAGGAACCAUGGCCCGGGGCCUUUCUUCCCGAAGGAAGAAAGGGCACCAAAGAAGUGGAGUGCACAGAGUGGUUAUAUAGCCCCCAAACGGGGUGUUUCACAUGUGAUUGAAAAGUCCCUUUUACAAUAGUCACGAGGCUGCUCUGCCAGCACAGCGCUUGAUGGAAACGGCAGAUAGGUCUGCUGUCUCAGUGAGCGCCGCAGGGUGGCAGGUGUGUUGCCUCGGGCUGGGUGGGGGGUCACAGAUGAGCGCUGCAAUCGGUUCCCAGCCUAAAGAAAGAUGCUUAAUCUUUAAGGAGAUGCCAACGUUGGGAGGGGGAGGGAAGUCAGUUACAGGAGGUUACCAGACUAGCACAAUAAAAUGCAGAUUUUAAGUCCUUGCCUUUGGUAUUGAUUAAGAGUUUUUGGAGAGUAGGUCAUCGCCUUUCUUCUUCCUGGUACAGAGAGGGAGGCACCUUUUACAGAUAGAGAUUUACCUUACAAAUGUAAACGUGUCCUAACAAAGGGCAAGUUCCAUUCCUCAGAGCCUCCUUGCCUGUCCCAGUUUAUCAAAAGCAGUGAGCCUCAAAUAAUCCUGAUGCCAAAGAGACAUAUCUUGGGGUGGCGAAUUUCAGGUCCCCACAGUCCCGCCUUUGAAACUUUUUAAAGUUUCACAGUCCAGAAGCUGAGUGGUAGAUUGUUUCAUCUCACUGAACACAUUUCUUAGUCCUGUUAAUAGAUCAGUCCAGUUAAAGUCAUUUUAGGGGCUGGCCCCGUGGCCGAGUGGUUAAGUUCGCGCGCUCCGCUGCAGGCGGCCCAGUGUUUCGUUGGUUCGAGUCCUGGGCGCGGACAAGGCACUGCUCAUCAAACCACGCUGAGGCAGCGUCCCACAUGCCACAACUAGAAGGACCCACAAUGAAGAAUAUACAACUAUGUACCGGGGGGGCUUUAGGGAGAAAAAGGAAAAAAAUAAAAUCUUUAAAAAAAAAAAAUAAAUAAAUAAAGUCAUUUUAGAAGGCGGCGAUGCAGGUGGGCUCCCAAAGUUAGGCCUAUAUUUUGGAAGCAAGCAAUCAGGUAUUUAAUAAGUAUUUCUAUGGACAUAAAAAGAAAACCAAGGUUAAUGGUUGGAGCAAAUUAUAAACUAGUUCCUGAGUCCAGGAGAUGCCAACGUUGGGAGGGGGAGGGAAGUCAGUUACAGGAGGUUACCAGACUAGCACAAUAAAAUGCAGAUUUUAAGUCCUUGCCUUUGGUAUUGAUUAAGAGUUUUUGGAGAGUAGGUCAUCGCCUUUCUUCUUCCUGGUACAGAGAGGGAGGCACCUUUUACAGAUAGAGAUUUACCUUACAAAUGUAAACGUGUCCUAACAAAGGGCAAGUUCCAUUCCUCAGAGCCUCCUUGCCUGUCCCAGUUUAUCAAAAGCAGUGAGCCUCAAAUAAUCCUGAUGCCAAAGAGACACAUCUUGGGGUGGCCAAUUUCAGGUCCCCACAGAUACAGCAACAAACACAGGAGCAUCUCCUUUCCAUAGUGUUUGAAUCCCUUGAAAAAUUAAACUUUAUUUUCUACCCAGAAGAUUGAACUUUAUGAAUUCUAUUUUCUUAACAAAAAUACCCACUUUAUCAGAGCCCAAAGCGACACCUGCAUUCCCGAUACUAUGUGAGAUUCUGAUAUCCAGCCAAUUUGUUUCUUGUCUCUUGAAUUAAGUUACAUGGGGGAAAGGAGUGUAACAGCGGACUUUUUCCAAUAACCAUAACUCUAUAUUCUAGAGCCUAUAAUAAAUUAGAUAAAUUUUAUUA
rnacentral:lncRNA from 1 species